AUUAAGAUUUAUUAAAAAAUUAAAUUUUUUUCUCAGUGCAUGUAUUUUAUAUAAAGUGCGCUGAUCUUCCCGGUACAAUUAAUGCAAAAAUAUUUAAUUUGUCUUGAUACGUGCUAAGUAAUGCUGUUGAUCCGAAAUAGAUUUUCAACAUAUUAUUACCUACCGACAUCGAAUCCAAUUUAAAUCCACGUUUAUUUCCAUUAGUCCGGAUCCUUUAGAUUUCACACUAUGCUCAUGCAAGAUUUCGUCGGACUCGGUCCGACAGGUCAAUAGUAACUUCCGGUGAUGCGAAUUUUGCACCAAACAAUCUCCGGCUGCGGUACGACAACCGUCUCGUACUUGUGGUGAAGCCACCCCAUCAAACAUCGAAUGUCACCCGCAAAAUUCGUAGGGAUGGAAACGCAAUUAAUCUUCGGUAACAAAGUAUUAUCUCCCCGAAUCUCUGCGGCAUUGGCCUUUCAGCAUGGCAUAAUUGGGUGGUAACCGACAAGCAGGAACAUGCAAACACGAUACGAAACAUGAAUAAUCAUUAAGCAAAUCCUUCCCCCUCUGUUUGAUUAUCUUGUUAUAGAUAAUACGAAAUACAAUAGUUACCGCGUAAAUUCCACAUAAAUGUAUUUUAGAAUAAUUAAUUAUAAACGCGAUCGCUGAAUAUUUGGAGCAACGUAUUCGAUUAAUCGGAUAUUCGGAUUGUCUGCACUUGAUAUGAUACAUUGUUAAAUAUUAAUUAAUAACUACUCAAAUGUAACAGAAAGCUAUGCGCAACAGCCGAUAGCGCGUUACAGAGAGCAAUUAGUUUCGUAAAAUUUUAAAAUCAGAUCCUAAAAAUUUCUGUCUUGACAGAAAUGAGAGAUGAAAUCUCUAAAAUAAUAUAAGUAAAUUCAAGACAGAGAUGGGAAUUAUUAUUCAACAUUUAUUUAAUUGCUUAUACUUGCUGUCAUCUAAAUAGUAUCAUGCUAGAAGGUUGACUAGUAUGCAUUUAAACAUUUAAAGCUGUUUACAACAUCGUGGUCUAAUCAUAUAGAUUGUAAAGUUUGUACUCGCUAUUACUUAAGUUAAAUUAAUUUGCUCAAGAUACGUAUCCAUUGUUCCUAUGGAAAAUAUAUAAUUCUCGUCGCUGUACAGAUUGAAUUAAUGUAAUUACUCUACACGUACAAAGAUCGUACUUUCAUCGCCGAGGUUAUCACGCUCAACGUUAAAAAUAUUGUCUAUUCGUACUUUAUUUGAAAAAUCUGUUUGCAAGUUAGAAAAUCGAAAGAGACAUAGGUGACAAUCCUGUGAAAAGUUAUUAAGUCAUCAAAAAAAAUUUUACUUACAUGAUACAAUCUUUUUUUUUAAGUGGGGAAUAUCAUGUAGAAUUAUUAUGAGUCAUAAUUAUUAUUACUCGAGACACCGAGUUUUUGGAACUGUAUUAUAUUAUACAUAAAUAAUAAAAUUAUUUGAAGAGCCUAUAUAAUAAGACUUUUUUUCAUUUAUUCGUAUUAAUAAAAUUAUUAUUAUAUUAAAAUUAUAAAUUUGGCAAUGCGCUGUAAACUAGAAUUAUGUUGCAAUAAACUCAACAAAUUUGUUUUUUUUUUUUUUUUCAAGCUUUGAAUUGGAUUUUUCCGCAA